UGCCUUUAGGAGGUGGGAAGAGGGGAAGGUGGAUCCUACUAGGCCCUAUCCCGACGCCCAUUCAUAGUUGAACUUGUGGUCUCUGGCUCCCUCUGCUGGCGAGAUGUUUUAUUACAGCGCUGUUGCCGCAGCGUUUCUGCACCGUGAGGCCGCCAGCUUGCAGCCGCGCACGUAAAUUUAGUAAAUUUGUCCCGGCGCACAACCAUCACCACAACCGAACCUUAGCACAUUUCCGUCACCUCAGAAGGGUCCCUCUGGUCCAUUUUGACACCCCCCCCCCAUUCCCUAGCUUUCUGUCCUCCAGGGGUAUCUCCUUUCCUAGAAAUGUCAUAUAAAUGGGCUUAUAAAUGUGUCUUUUGUAUCUGGCUCCCUUCACUGGAGGUAAGUUUUUGAGGUUCAUCUACGUUUCUGCGUGGAUCAGCACUUCGUGUGCCUUGUCGUUGCCCACGAGCGUUCCGCUGCGUGGACGGACCCCAUUGUGUUUACGCACGCGCCCUUGAUGGUGAUUUCUAAUUUGGGUGAUCACGAAUCCGGCUACUACGAACAUCCGUGUAUGUCUGUGUUGGGAUUUGAUUUCAUCUCUCUCGGGUGGAUCCUCUGAGUUGAAUCGCUGGCGCGGAGCCCUGCUGGGAACCGAAACUCUCCAUGGCUUCUGCAGUGCUGGACGUGGUGGCUCCAUGUGACGCCGCAGGGCUUAGCCCGUCGCACCCAGCCCUGUCUCCCCAUCCGCUUCCCUUCCCCACCGUCAAGUUCAGUUAGAUCGACUAGGGGCCUCGCCGUUACUGUGAUGGUAAGUGCUGCUGUCUUCUGACCUCUUUGGUACACGUGGCGACAGAAACGGGCUAGUGGAUGGGGGCAACUGGGGGGUUCAGCCGGUGAAGGAACCCGACUGACUGAUUUCCGUUCAGGUCAUGACCUCACGGUGGUUCGUGAGUUCAAGCCCUGCGUGGGGCUCUGCGCUGACAGCUCAGAGCCUGCUUGGGAUUCUCUCCCUUCUGUGUCUCUGCCCCUCCCCUGCUCACUGUCUCUCUCUCUCUCAAAAUAAAUAAAUACAUAAACGUUAAAAAAAAAAAAAAGAAGGAAACAUGUGCUCAUGGAACCGAGGAAAUGGAUGCCUAAUUUUCUUUAAAUUAAUUAAAGUUUAGAUUUUAAAAACGAUGCUUGAUUAGGGGUGACUAAGCCUCCCGGUGUGUCUGGCAGGAUGUUAGGGACCGAAAGUGGACGGUGCUGGUCCCACCAGGACGGUAAGAGAAAGUAUUUCUGUUUGGGACAACUGGGGACGAUCUGGGGGUGCAAAUCUAAUUUUCUCAUGGCAAAUUUUAUGACAUCUCAGUGGGGGGGGGGGUCAAGGAUUUGCAGUGACAACCACGGGGUCGAACUGAGGGUGUCAAGCACUCGGGAAUUUGAAGAGUUUGUACCCGAAAAAAGGUGGGAUGCUCUUGAGUGUUUUCCAUACCGAUUACAUUUGAAAGGCUACGACUUCAGACAAAUUGGGGUAAAUAUACUGUUAGAGGUAAUUUUACUUCUGUUUUCUUCCUUUUUAAAAAACGUGGCUAG